rnacentral:rRNA from 1 species
AUUGAACGCUGGCGGCAGGCCUAACACAUGCAAGUCGAGCGAGCGGCGGACGGGUGAGUAAUGUCUGGGAAACUGCCUGAUGGAGGGGGAUCACUACUGGAAACGGUAGCUAAUAACGCAUACCAUCGGAUGUGCCCAGAUGGGAUUAGCUCGUAGGUGGGGUAAAGGCUCACCUAGGCGACGAUCCCUAGCUGGCCUGAGAGGAUGACCAGCCACACUGGAGCGGAGACAGGGUCCAGCCUCCUCCGGGAGGCAGCAGUGGGGAAUAGUGAACAAUGGGCUCAAGUCUGAGGCAGCCAUACCUCGUGUGUGGAGAAGGCCUUCGUGUUGUAAAGCAAUUUCAGCGAGGAGGCGUUACUCGCAGAAGAAGCACCGGCUAACUCCGUGCCAGCAGCCGCGGUAAUAC